rnacentral:lncRNA from 1 species
CUUAGUUAAGUGCAUUAUGUACAUGGGUUUGGAUUUAGAUCUCAAAAUAUUUUCUAAUCUAAACCAUUUAUAUUGUAUCUCAUACAAUAUCAUUGUUUGCAAAAUCGAGUCGAUUCACUCUGAUACACAAAUCGACUUGUCACAGUGAGUCAGCACACACUGAGACAAACAUAAAUCUGUAGACCUAGUCUGCUCAAUUG